rnacentral:rRNA from 1 species
GUCUACAGUCAUGCUACCCUGAACAAGCCUGAUCCCAUCUGAUCUCAGAAGCUAAGCAGGAUCAGGCUUGGUUAGUACUUGGAUGGGAGACCACCUAGGAAGACCAGAAACUGUGGGUG